rnacentral:rRNA from 1 species
UACGGAGGGCGCAAGCGUUGUCCGGAUUCAUUGGGUUUAAAGGGUGCGUAGGCGGCUAUUUAAGUCAGUGGUGAAAUCCUGCAGCUCAACUGUAGAAUUGCCAUUGAUACUGGAUAGCUUGAGUACAGACGAGGUAGGCGGAAUUUAUGGUGUAGCGGUGAAAUGCAUAGAUACCAUAAAGAACCCCUAUUGCGAAGGCAGCUUACUAGGCUGUAACUGACGCUGAGGCACGAAAGCGUGGGGAUCAAACAGG